GGGGAUAUAGCUCAGUUGGCUAGAGCGCCUGCUUUGCAAGCAGGAGGCCGAGGGUUCGAAUCCCUCUAUCUCCACCA
rnacentral:tRNA from 1 species